ensembl:lncRNA
GUUCUUAAUAAUGGGUAUUUCUUCAGGACAUUGUUAACAGCCAACAGCUUCUGCAAUUUCCAGAUGCCUCAGAGGAAAUGUUUGAUUCAAUCGUUCCUUAACAGUCAGGAUGUCAGGUCCUGAUGCCCACCCAGUCAACCCAUGGAGUCCUGAUGCCCACCCAGUCAACCCAUGGAGUCCUGAUGCCCACCCAGUCAACCCAUGGAGUCCUGAUGCCCACCCAGUCAACCCAUGGAGUCCUGAUGCCCACCCAGUCAACCCAUGAAGUCCUGAUGCCCACCCAGUCAACCCAUGGAGUCCUGAUGCCCACCCAGGCAACCCAUGCUAAAAAUAUAAGCACUCAUGGUACUGUUAGUCACUU